rnacentral:tRNA from 1 species
AGAAACUUAAGUUAUACCAAACUAGGAGCCUUCAAAGCCCCAAAAAAAGCUAGCACUUUAGUUCCUG